GGCUUACUCUCAGGAUUCCAAAAGGUGAAGAGGCGGCUAAUCAAGGUCUCAAACCUUGCUUUUCUAACUUGCCCUCCUUUUCUCCCCGGGCUGUAUUUACAUGAACUCCCAGGCCGGCCUGGUCGCCACCGCUGGCGCGGUCUGCCUCCGAGUCCCCAGCUUAAGCGUCUGCCAGGCGGCGCUUCUUUGAGGAGGAGGGAGAGGAGGGCGGACCCUCCACCGCGGGGCGCAGUGCGCCGUGAGGAUGGAGCAUCGCUGCCGCCGGGAGAGAGCGAGCGUGCGCGACUUUCGGGGUCUGCCCACCUCCGCCCCAACCCACUAACUCCGCAGACAGCUCAGGAGAUUGCUGUGAGAACAAGAAAAAACCGUCCUGGAGACCAAGGGUGCCCCUACCAGAUGGAUUCGGGCAUCUUCCCCUUCGCUUCUUCGCGAGGGAGGCCGCUUCACGCGCAGAAUAUCUACCCUCCAGUUCAUCAAGGGUGACGCUGUGUGAAAGAAAGAGGCCUCUGCUGUGUGCGUUUGAUAACAGUGCACUCAAGUCUGCUCAGAAGGUGAAACAGCCCUGGGCCACUUCAUUUUGAAGCUCUGAAUAUAUUUUUUAAAUGAAGACAUGCCAAAAUAGUUACCAAAAUUUUAAUUGUGGUUUACGAUCCUUUAAUAAUUCAAUGCUCUUGACACGCACACGCUAACAUAAUGACUGCACGUGUAAGCUCAUCAGGAGAUGAUGCCAAAAAGGCCAUAUGUGAGGCCCCUGAUGAACAUGAGGCCAGAACCAAAUGGCCCUUUUGCUCCACUCCCAGCCCAGAGAUUGGCUCUGUGCCUUCACAUGCUCGGAACGGGAGAGGAAGUGGCCUGAAGCGAGCUGGGAAUUAAGCCUGGAGCAGAGGUAGUGAGGUCUGAGGAAAAGCCUGCUUGAAACCAGGUUCAUACUGGGCCCCAGUUUGGAUACCUCACCUUCGUCAUGCCUCGUUGCCCACCUGUUAGCUGAAGAAUGUUAAAAGAGGCUCGAAGGAGAACAAAGAUAAAAAUGGAGUUCCAAAGAAGAAAGAUGCCACUGGCGGGAAGCAGGAAUGCAUUACUAAAUGCACCCUAAAGAUGCUUCCUCCCCCCUCCGUCCCUCCCAUCCUUCCCUCCUUCCUGAGUCGGAAUCAGGAUACUUUAACAGGCAGUUGGCAAAGAACACCAUUCAUCCCAAACAAGCAGUGUAGUCUUUCCUGUGUUUGGUCUUUAUUAAAAUCUUGGAAUUCCAUGCCUCCUCUGAAUUUCCAUGUGGCUUCUCUUUAUGCAUAAACAUCAAAAAGGAUGCAGCUUGUUACAUAAACUUGGUAGACUGCAAAAGCCUGCCAUGUGUUUAUGCAUUACAAAGAGCCCUGCACAGUUAAAACCAAACUAAUUAGGAGGCGCAAGUCAAAAGAAGUUCUGAAAUGUUAUUAAUAAUUAUAUGUGACAAAAUCAGUUUAUUUUUAGAUUUCUGAGAAAUGCAUUUCUGGUUUGUCAUUGCUCUCCACACCUGUGAUCGUCUCUCAGUCUGUCUGCUUGCCCUCUCCUGCUCACCCUCCACAGUGAGUCGCAGGCGGAGGAACCCAUCAGGGCUGCUAUUCUUCAGCUCUCUAACCUUCAGCUGUGUGACUGGCUUCUUGGGCAACACGAUUGCCUGUCAUUUAACGUGCGUGGAUGGAUGAGCUCAUUAACAAGCCGCCCCAGGGGCCCUCUCCAUUGGCUGUUCUCGCAGACCCUAGUUCUUUUUCUCCACCCAACAGCAACGGUGGGCCUUCCCUGUCUGGUGAAGCACAUCCUCACACCCGUCUCAUUGUGCGCCCUUCCCCCUCCUGGAGGAGAACUUAGGGCGGUCAGGAGCAAUCAUUCUAAGCAUCCUGCUGAACCUGCGCUUUUCACGAAGGCCACUCUUUCUCCAGGACGCCACCAGCUCUCCAGAGCCCUCCCCUGGGUUCCCAGGGAGGAACGGUAACCUAGUCAGCAAUUCUUACUUCUUGCUUUGCCGAGGGGCUGCUUCCCCCUCAUGGGUUAGCACAUGUCUGGUAGGAAACCCUUAAUUCCUCUCGUUGUUGCCUCUUGCGGUGAAGCUGUGCAGCCCUAGACUGUGGGAAAGCCCUCCUGGGAAUCUGAGAGGGCUCUGUCAGAGCUGCCUGCCGAGGGUACAGGGAGGUGGGAAGCCCAGGGGUUUUACUUCCCUAAGACACAGGAAUUCAGGCUCUCCCUGUCCAUGUGUCCUGUGGUGAGUGUCUGUCUCUGAGUCUCUAGGGAUUUGCUUUCAAGUUUUAAAAAAUUUAAUGAUUAGGAUCCUGGCUUUUUGUGCCUUGGUUUCUCCUUUCUAAGAAAGGUGAAAAUAUUUGGGUUAAAUAAAGCUAAGUCCAGGUUUCUUUUGGGGGACCCUGAGAGCGCAAUGUGCCUCUUCUUUCUCAUAAUCUAGUCUCAGGAUGUCUGCCCCAUCUCUGUCUUGUUUUCUCCUUCUUACUCCCUCUCCAACAGAAUACUUCCUGCCACCUCACCCCAUGGCUUCUCAGUUGUUUUGCCCUUUUUAGACUCACUUCUAAUCUCUGCGCUAUUUUUCCGUCAGCUUCAGACAGGAACCCCUAGUGAAGAAAACCUGAGACAACACUGAUGAGAGCAAGUUUUUCUGAAUCCUUCUAAUCCCCGUGGGUCUUUCAGAGGUCAGGAGCGCCCCAGGCCACUGCCAUGUGCUGAGGCUUCCAGAAUACUUU
ensembl:lncRNA